GAACCAGAAGCGAAAAAUCGCUACCGGUUUCGACCCGGUCCUUGACUAAUUAGUCCUAGUUCU
rnacentral:tRNA from 1 species